UUUUGAUUUUACAGCAAAAAUAAAAUGUUGAUGAGCUACAUUAUAAUUUUAUGAAUCCCCACUUUAAAAGAUGACGCCGGCCAAAUUCAGAUUCUGACUUCAUAGGAAAGUAGAGUGCCAUGAGCUGGCCAGCAUGGAGCGCAGCUGUGAAGUGCCUGGCCCUGGGCUUGUCCUUCAGAAGAAUAUCCUCUGCUAGUUAUGGAGGAACAAGUCUGUAACCCCAUCACGUGGAAGCUGAGACAGGAAGAUCCCAAGAUUGAGGCCAGCCUGGGCUACGUAGUAAGUCACGGUCACAGAGACAGGAAAGCCCAUGGUGUAUCCCUCCCAUGUGAGCAACGUACAAAUGAACUCAGUCUAAAGGAGAUGGGCAGAGUGGAAGCUCUAAGGCUGGACCCCUCCACAAAACAACUGUGAAACUGAUAAAAAAAAAAAAAAAAAAAGACCAGACUAAACCACAGGAUGCUGCAACCAAGAGGAACACAGCACAAGCAGGCAUGUGCCGUGUGAAAGGGAAGGCUGCUGAUCUGUAAGAUAGCAAGAGGAAACAUUUCUCAGACUUUCCUUGGACUUCAAUAAAUGUGAAGUAAAGUUGUG
rnacentral:lncRNA from 1 species